GAAGUUACCAGGCCCCAGGAAUGGCACCAGUGGAUGAGUGUUGCCUGACUUCAGACUGAUCUUGAGAGGCCCCUGGGCUUGAUUGUGUCUGUCCUGACAAACUGAAGGUAAACUGAAGAUACCAUGAGUUGGAAAUGCAUUGACUACAACUUUGCCACUAAACCUCACAGCAGCAAGGGAGCAGUCAGUCACCCUCCUGGUUCUGUGACAUCUCCAUCCAAGGUCUCUUAUCUUCCAUUGAGCUGCCUCUGAUGAAGGUCGCUGACAGCAGGAUGGCUGGGAAAACGUCGGACAGCUCCAUCAAAUGGCAGCUAUGCUAUGACAUGUCAG
rnacentral:lncRNA from 1 species